AUGUGCAUGCAGACAUCUGUCUCAGAUUAGAAUCUGAUCUAUGAGCAGACACAUGAGAAUAGACAUUUAUCCCGAGAACGGGAAGCUGGUGCGAAUAGGAGAAGAUUUCAGGCUCUGUGUGGGACAGGAAAGAACCAGCCCUCGGGAAACUUCCUCCAGAAAGGGCAUUUGCCAGUGCAGCCUUGCUGGGUUCCCUCUGUCUUCCCCAGCUUUCCUGCCCUGGGGCUCCAUGGACUCCUGGAGGCUUGUGCGCAGCCCCCCAGGAAGACAGGGUAAUGGAAUCCUUCUGCAGAGUUGAGAAGACUCCUAGAAUGGAUUAGGAAUUCUAUAGGGAGAAUGAAGCCUGGCUGGAGAAAGCGAGUUGCCCACAUGGACAAGGGCACAUCAGGAGUGGACCCAGGGUCAGGAGAAAGUGACUUGACAUCUUGAGCUCGGAUCUUU